UCUAUUUGUCAUCACUAACCCAUCAUCACUAUUGAAUAAAUUCAUAAAUUAUGAAAAUUACCAUGCUAGAACUAGUAACAAGAAAAUGUAUUUCUCCAAAGCGUAAGCAUAAGCCAAGACGGACAACCCUUUGGUAAUUAACGGCCUUGAGCCUAUUAUAGUAAAAUAUCUAGAAAACCCUAUAUCUUACACCGUUAACCUUACACAAGAACUCUCCUGGAAAGAUUAAAAGGAAGAGAAGGAACUCGGCAAAUCAUAACCCCGCCUGUUUACCAAAAACAUCGCCUCUUGCUGGAUAUAAGAGGUCUAGCCUGCCCAGUGUUUUAAUCAACGGCCGCGUGAUUUAAGCGCGCGAAGGUAGCGUAAUAAUUUGUUCUUUAAAUGAGGACUUGUAUCAAUGGCAUCACGAGGGUUAUACUGUCUCCUCUCCCCAAUCAGUGAAACUAAUCUCCCUGUGAAAAAGCAGGAAUAAACCAAUAAGACGAGAAGACCCCAUGGAGCUUAAAACACAGCAACAACCCUAAUUAGUUAAUCUAUAUAAUUUUAAGCCCUGUAUGCUAGUUUUAGGUUGGGGUGACCGCGGAGCAAAACAAAGCCUCCACAACGAAAAGGGCUUACACCCUUAUCCAAGAGACACACCUCUAAGAAUUAUAAUAAUAACGUAUAAUGAUCCGACCAUCGACCAACGGACCAAGUUACCCUGGGGAUAACAGCGCAAUCCACUUUAAGAGUCCUAUCGACGAGUGGGCUUACGACCUCGAUGUG
rnacentral:rRNA from 1 species